rnacentral:misc_RNA from 1 species
AUCAAACCUCAUAAGUAUAUGUAUAUGUGUUUAUCAUAUCCAAAACUACCUUUUAAUUUUUUGUAAAUUUAAGACUUUUUUUAAUCUACAAAUUAGAAUUGCAUUUCAUGAUCUAUUGGCAAAUAAGUAGAGAGGCAACAUUACACAAGACCCUAAUGCCUGAAACUUCCAAUACCCGUCCCCUACCAAAGAAUGAAGCCCAAACAAUACAAGCACAACCCCUAAACAAGCAUACACUAGCUGAAGCAACUCAACAAAAUAGAUCUUCUUCCUCACAGUUCUGUCGACAGGGACUUAGCAAGAGCAGCCACUGGAAGCCAUAGAGAUCACUUCCUCCAAAGAUAAGCAAACCUAUAUUAAACAAGGCUGAGCCGCCCCACGACCAUCACAAAGCAGACCGGCUCUUUCAGAUAGAGACCAAGGGCCCAACGCCAGCCAUGGGAGAGAGGAAAAGCAGGGGCCACGGGUAUUCUCAGUCUCCUCUAGUUGUGAGAUUUCGGCAAUCACUCUGUAAAACGCCGGCUCUAUAUCCCAAGCAACCUGUUGAGAAACCACUCCCAUGGCCGAAGGCUAUCCACCCAGCAGAGGACCACCACAUUGCCCAGGAAGCAGUAACUCAGAAACUCAGUUUCAUAGACCACAGCUUCAUGUAGUUCUUCACCAAAUCACCUCUAAACCUGCACAAACAAACAAUAAAACCAAAACUAUAUAAUCCACACUGGAAGGGGAUGGAACAUAAUUACCCAGACUGAGGAGACGCCCUCCCCUACCUCGACGGGUAAGGGAGGCCACCAGGACCAACUUGGCUAAACUAAGACAACGAAAAGAAACGUGGAAAAUUCUAGAGGAUUUUCUAUCUAUAGAAAUCUAGGGAGAGAGCUUGAACACAUUUAAGACUCAUUAAUAGCUAAAAAUCCAAAAUUUUCAUUUCAUUGUACAAGUAGCGAACCCCGUAUAUUUCAGAAUCCAAAGGUUUUAAAAAUCUUGAUACUAGCAAUUCGGUGGGUAAAACUCUUAUUAAGUGGAUCUGAACCCAAAUAUUACAUUAAUAGUUUAGGGUGAGUUAAUUAAAAAAAUGAAAAUUAGAGAGUUGAUUUUCUGAGCGUAUCCAUUUUGUUGUCUGUAAGCAAAAAAACUUGACUAUUUGUCAUAAUGAUGACAAGAAAGUAGUGUCUAACUGUCUAUAAGCAUUUUUUUUCACUUUCUCAUCUGCUUCAGUUUAAUUUCCUAGUCUUCUUUUCUUGAGCUAAUGGC